AUCGCGACUUGUCUUCAGUUUCAUUCAUAUUUUCCUUGCUUGCACCCACAAACACCAUUGAGAAGAACCAUGACAAUGUUGUCAAACUAUUUGUACUCACUCUCACAAACACCUCACAAGCUUAGAAAAAGAAUGCUAGCAACUUGGACACCAGACCACGAGUUCAACCAAGUGAGGCAGAGGUCAGGUGCAGACAUGCAGAGGAAGCUUAAAUGGUAUGAUCUUAUAGCUCUUGGAGUUGGAGGAAUGCUUGGUGUUGGUGUGUUUGUCACAACUGGACCUGUUGCUCUUCAUCAAUCUGGUCCUUCAGUCUUCAUAUCUUAUAUCAUUGCAUGAGUAUCAGCACUUCUUUUUUCUUUGUGUUACUCUGAAUUUGCAGUUCAAGUUCCUGUUGUUGGUGGAGCUUUCAGUUAUUUAAGAUUAACCUUUGGAGAAUUUAUGGGAUAUUUUGUUGAGCCAAAUAUACUAAUGGAGUAUGUGUUCUCAAAUGCUGUUGUAGCUAGAGCUUUACAG